rnacentral:rRNA from 2 species
UGGUAGUAAAAAAUCGUAACAAGGUCUCCGUUGGUGAACCAGCGGAGGGAUCAUUAUCGAGUUAUUCAACUCCCAAACCCUAUGUGAACUUACCACUUGUUGCUUCGGCGCGCGCUUCGGCGCCGCCGAGGACACUUAAACUCUUUGUUUUUAUAAGCAUUUCUGAGUGGCCGAAAGGCAAAAAUACAAAUGAAUCAAAACUUUCAACAACGGAUCUCUUGGUUCUGGCAUCGAUGAAGAACGCAGCGAAAUGCGAUAAGUAAUGUGAAUUGCAGAAUUCAGUGAAUCAUCGAAUCUUUGAACGCACAUUGCGCCCGCCAGCAUUCUGGCGGGCAUGCCUGUUCGAGCGUCAUUUCAACCCUCGAGCCCGACUCUUUUGAGGACGGCUCGGCGUUGGGGGACGGCAGACUCCCCCCGGCAUCUCGCCGGGGACGCCGCCCCCGAAAUCUAGUGGCGGCCCUCCGAGGCGACCUCUGCGUAGUAACUUGUUCUCGCACCGGAAAGCUCAGAGCGGCCACGCCGUAAAACCCCAACUUUUUUCAGGUUGACCUCGAAUCAGGUAGGACUACCCGCUGAACUUAAGCAUAUCAAAAGCCGGGAGGAA